GUUCUAUCCCUUUCCUAACUCAGGAGGCGGCAUCAGGGAUGGUGCCCAAAUCGGAAGGAGAAGGGCAGGAAAUAUGGUUCAGAGCCGACCUUCCAGCUUGAAUGCAAAGAUAAGAGCAUUAACCUUAAAGAAAAAAUUACAGAACCAGACCGAUUCUUGCUUGUUUUGUUUAUUUACUUAUUUGUUUGUUUGUUUUUGACAAACUGCUGGCCACUCUGUCCGGACCAGGACCAGGACUGAUCCCAGAAAGGGUGUCUGUGCUGUGGGAUUUAGUCCCCUUUCAGAGAGCCAGGGCUCCAGCGUGCUUUGGUCCAGCAGGCAUGGGAAGGUACAAGCGGGACAAGGCCAUGCAAAAAAUGAGAUAGAGGGCAUGAAGCUGAUGAGCUUUUCGAUUAAAAACCCGUUUUUGCUUAACUCCAAGAUUUAACGAUGGGAUUUGACUGAGCCAAAUGACCCAUUUGGCCAUUAUAUCCGGAUUAAAAGAAAUAAAUUACUGCCCUAACAGAAGAUGCUACCACAGCAGAAGCAAUAGGGAAACCAACUGAAAAGCAGACUAAAUUGAAAAAACAAAAAGCAAUUGGAGUAGGGCACAUAAUAUGUAAUAUUACGUAAAAAUAAAAACAAUGACAGUGACAACCAAUUUCCUCCACCCCACAUUCAAACAACCUUCAGUUUAGUGAAAAGUUGUGUAUCAAUGAAUUGGUGUGCUAGCACAAAUCUUAGAGGCCAGUGCCUAAUUUAAAUGGAGACAUGUGCAUUGUUUACUUAACUGUUUGUGGAAUAAACCCAGAAUAGCACUGGUAAAUUCAAAGUGUUUUCAAGUGAGGGCAAUUUGAUUCAGAUUAAUUUCAGUUUCAUGGAAAGUUGAAUUUUAUCACAAGAAUGCAGCCUGAAAUGCUUCGUGAAACCAUUCUUCACUUCCAGAGGAGAGGCAGAGGUUGAGGUUUUCUUCUAAUAGGUCACACCCCCUGGAGUUUUCAAAAAAUUUGGUCUCUAGUUC
rnacentral:lncRNA from 1 species